ensembl:lncRNA
CCGACUUGUCAGCAACAAGGGCGCUGUAUCCUCUCAUUGGCUGGCCACGUAUCAUUUGAAUUCCCAGGGAAGAGACAGCAGGGAACAGUAGGGCACACGGGUUAUUCCUGAUAAUGGUAAUACUGUACCUUCGCCCUCCCUGUGAAGGUGAACAUUCCUCUUUCCCUGGGAGGGACACGGACCAGGACCGGACAAAGACACACCUUGGCUGCACCGUUAUGAGAGGGAUGGGUGGUGACUGAAUAAGCACAACAACAGCCAGGGGCUGAUGGAUGACUCCUGGCAUGGGAAGGGGGAUCGAAGGGAUUGAUCCGAGGCCCCGGUAUAUCCACCAGUGUUUUUACCCUCUGUCAAACAGGUGCUGAGGGGAGAUGGAUGCUGUCUGCUCAGGCAGUGGAUUAAUGGAGGUCUGAUAUUGAGAUGGGUCCCACCACCCCACCCCACCCCCAACCCAGCAGAGAGGCUACAGCCUGAUGGCAGCCCUACCGGCAAGACCAGCAAGCAGAGAUGUGGAGCCACCUCAGACUCCAACUGGUGGUGCUAUGCGGGUGCUGUUGAGCCAUGCUGACAGAAGAGGAAUGUCUGUGCUGCAAGAAAUUUGAUCGAGGACAGCUUUUACUGGAGGGUCACUGCAGACCCCAUGGAUUGUGUGUGUGUGUGACAGACCAUUGAAGUUUCAAAGCACAUAUGGAUAGAGGUGUGCUGGAGACGUUCUUCAGAACCUCCAAGAUCAACUGGCGGCGGAAGCCUUGACCAGAUGGACCAGGAGAGCAAAAUAGACCUGAGCCCUAGGACCAUGCCUAGGACCAUGCCUCAGGACUACCUGGCCUGAUGAAUCCUUACUGUCCCCAGUCCACCUGGUCGUGCUGCUGCUCCAGUUUCAACUGUUCUGCCUGCGGCUAUGGAACUCUGACCUGUUCACCAGACGUGCUACCUGUCCCAGACCUGCUGUUAUCAACUCUCUAGAGACAGCAGGAGAGGUAGAGAUACUCUCAAUGAUCGGCUAUGAAAAGCCGACUGACAUUUACUCCUGAGGUGCUGACCUGUUGCACCCUCUACAACCACUGUGAUUAUUAUUAUUUGACCCUGCUGGUCAUCUAUGAACAUUUGAACAUCUUGGAUGGUCACAUAUGAACAUUUGAACAUCUUGGCCAUCUUGGACUGGACACCCCUCAUAGCCUGGUUCCUGUCUAGGUUUCUUCCUAGGUUCUGGACUUUCUAGGGAGUUUUUCCAAGCCACCGUGCUUCUACACCUGCAUUGAUUGCUGUUUGGGGUUUUAGGCUGCUUUUCUGUACAGCACUUUGUGACAUCAGCUGAUAUAAGAAGGGCUUUAUGAAUACAUUCGAUUGAUUGAUAGACAUUUUCAUUAGUUCACUUCAUAUAUGUUACACCCUGUAUAUAAAUUCAUUAUUGUGUAUUUAUUCCUUGUGUUACUAUUUUUAUUAUAAUUUUUUUAACUCUGCGUCAUUGGGAAGGGCUAAUAAACAAGCAUUUCACAGUAAAGUCUACACCCAUUGAAUUUGGUGUGUGUGACAAAUAAAAUGUCAUUUGAUUUAGAUAGUUGCACGUUUUGCAACGGAAUUCCUCUUCUUCAGAGGAGGAGCAGCAAGGAUCAGACCAAUGUGCAGCGUAGUAAGUGUCCAUAAUUAUAUAAUUAAUAAAAUCAAACAGAACACUGAACAAAAUAACAAAAGUACAAACAAACAACUGAAACAGUCCCUCCCGUAUGGUGAAAACACUAACACAGGAUACAACCACCCACAAAACACAAUAGAAAACAGGCUACCUAAAUAUAGCUCCCAAUCAGAGACAACGACUGACACCUGCCUCUGAUUGAGAACCAUACUAGGCCAAACACAUAGGAAUAUAACAACAGAACAAAACAUAGAAAAACAACAUAGAAUGCCCACCCCAACUCAUGCCCUGACCAACUAAAAUAAAGACAUAAAAAAGGAACUAAGGUCAGAACGUGACAAACGUUUAAAAAAAGCAUGUGUUUCUUAUUGGACAAGUUGACAUAGUACCUCCCCCAAUUUUAGCCCAUUUGCCUCUGUUUUGCCAAUUGAAUACUAGCCUUGCUGACGUGACCAACGUGACUACACAGCGAAGAGCUGUGACACACUUUGUAGGACUUCGAGAGCUGGUGUCAGCCAGACUAAAUGAAAAUGACCCUGUCCUUAUACUUAUUUUCCACCACCAUUUGCAAAUAAAUUCAUUAAAAAUCCUACAA